UUCACAGGUGCUUGGCAAGUAGCAGAGUCAGGAUUUGAACUAAGAUCAUUAGGACUCAAGGUUUGAAUGCAAUUCUAAGGAGAGGCUGUUAAAUCGAAGAAGGCAGAGCUCAGAAGCUGAAUGCAUUGCCCAAACUUAUGCUCAGGAAGAAAAUGUGGGAGAUGAGGAUUUACUGAUGAAGAAACUUUUAGAAAUUUCCUACUGCCAAAGAUGCAAACAUGUGACAUUUAUGAACAUGUCCUAGAAGAAAAUGUGGGAGAUGAGGAUUUACUGAUGAAGAAACUUUUAGAAAUUUCCUACUGCCAAAGAUGCAAACAUGUGACAUUUAUGAAAGGUGCUCCUGGUUCUCAAUCACACUGCUUCAAAGAAUGAAGAGGUAGACCAGACAAAGAGUGGUGGGCAGCAAAGCAAAGUUUCUGACAGUAAAGUUUAUUGAAUGAUUGUACAAAGCUCCCAAAGAGGGAAGGGACCGGAGAGGGUUACCUUAUACUUUUUUCUCUUCAUUCUCCUCCUCUUGAUAAUUUUCUUCCACUUCUCAUUACUGAGUUAUAUAUGUUUUUAUUAUGUCUCAGCACUUGGCAUGAAGUUGUUGACGUCAAAUCCACUUAACCAUAUUUGAGAGAUUGAUAAUUGUGCUCUUUUAGUAAUGACGGAAUGCAGCACGAACACAUACUCCUCAUAUAAUCAGCUCACUCCCAUAAUUGCAAUAAACUCUAUUCUGAAAUGUUAUCUAUUGAGAACCAUAAAACUUUUAAACCGCCAAGAGGACAUUUGCUACACUUGUAAGUAAUAGAAUCUUAGAUUGUUAGCCAUGAAAGAGGUCUAAUUUUGUACAGGAGGAAACAGCAGCCCAGGGAUCUUUGUGCAAAUUGAUUACUUUCAUCAUAGCAAUCUAACUUGCGUAACAUAAAGUCAAUGAUAUCAUUUCUUUAUAGCGUUUAUUAAAUGAGUUUGUAAUGCCUACUUCCAUAGUUGAUUUGGUUUUGGAGGCGUGUAUUAUAAUGCAUGCAAAGUUGAAAAUGCCUUUUGCACCUUUUAGUCAUGUAGUUUAUAAACAUAGAAACACUAGUAAAGAAAAAAGAAAAAAAGAGCAAAGAUACAGCAUAUUUCUUCCAGAUACUUGUGUUCCCUGGCAUGAAGUGUGGUUACAAGUCAGUGGAAUCACCUUAGGCCCUCAAAGUUAUAUUCCUAGAGUGGACAUGAAUAAAAGGCAUAGACCUAUGCUUUCCCUGUUAGAAUAUGCAUUAUAUGCUAAGUAGAAUCUUUGGCUAUUUGUGCCUCUCUGCAUCGAAGAACAAGAUAGCCAAGCCCAACCGCAUGUCCACUGUCUUUGACAUGGUUAUGGUUUUCUGAUGAUGACAAGUCCACAAAGCAAAUUCCAGUCUACGAUGUGACAGAGAAAAGGUUUUGUUCAAGGGGAAAGGGCAUGUCUCUUUUGUGGAUUCCUGGUUCAUGGUGGUAUCUGGAUAAGGAAGAAAGGCUGUCCCUGCACUUUUGACUGUGGGGUGCUUGGCUGCAUGUCCCAGUUCAGAUUCCAACACACCCUAUGUUGAAGAAGAAGCUUACAAGUCUGAACUUUGGUUUGGGCAACUGAGAAUGAAAGCAUUUUUCAUCUGAACUUUCUGUGCUUUAUGAACACCUCAAGGGAAACACCUUUAAUACUGGAGCCCUAAUAAAGAGCAUAAGAAAAUUUGUUUUUCUGGUGAAGAAAAAUCUUGAUGCACAAAACAGAUGAUACAAGCAACCCCGUUUCCCUAAAUGCUUGUUAUUUAAUCUACUUAAUAAAUUUUGAAUUCUUUGGAGAUAAAGCAAAAUGUAAGCAAAAAU